rnacentral:rRNA from 1 species
UACAGAGGCCUCAAGCGUUGUUCGGAAUCACUGGGCGUAAAGGGUGCGCAGGCUGCGCAAUAAGUCGACUUGUCAAAUUCAUGCGCUCAACGCAUGAUCGCAGUCGAUACUAUUGCGCUAGAGUGCUGAAGAGGGGAUAAGAAUUCACGGUGUAGCAGUGAAAUGCGUAGAUAUCGUGAGGAAUACCAAAGGCGAAAGCAUAUCCCUGGUAAGCUACUGACGCUCAUGCACGAAGGCUAGGGGAGCAAAUGGG